AGUGAACGCUGGCGGUAGGCCUAACACAUGCAAGUCGAACGGCAGCACAGUAAGAGCUUGCUCUUACGGGUGGCGAGUGGCGGACGGGUGAGGAAUACAUCGGAAUCUACUUUUUCGUGGGGGAUAACGUAGGGAAACUUACGCUAAUACCGCAUACGACCUACGGGUGAAAGCAGGGGAUCUUCGGACCUUGCGCGAUUGAAUGAGCCGAUGCCGGAUUAGCUAGUUGGCGGGGUAAAGGCCCACCAAGGCGACGAUCCGUAGCUGGUCUGAGAGGAUGAUCAGCCACACUGGAACUGAGACACGGUCCAGACUCCUACGGGAGGCAGCAGUGGGGAAUAUUGGACAAUGGGCGCAAUCCUGAUCCAGCCAUACCGCGUGGGUGAAGAAGGCCUUCGGGUUGUAAAGCCCUUUUGUUGGGAAAGAAAAGCGGCAGGUUAAUACCCCGCUGUUCUGACGGUACCCAAAGAAUAAGCACCGGCUAACUUCGUG
rnacentral:rRNA from 1 species